CAUGCAAGUCGAGCGAAUCGCAUACUGAUUGCCCCUUGGGUGACUAGCCCGUGGGGAUCUGCCUUUGGUUGUGAAUUAGCCUUCGUGAACUUGUGCUAAUACCGGAUAAGCCUGUACAGGCAAAGUUUUGUCGCCGAAAGAUGAGGUCAUACUUGAUUAGCCCACGGCAAAGGAUUAGCCUUACCGGGGUUACCAUCAUGGGGUGAUCUGGGAGCACGAUCGCCCCCAUUGCUACUGGGAUUGGGACCAUAAUCCUACGGGAGGGAACUGAGGGGAAUCUUGCACACUGAGGGAAGCCCUGAUGGGGCAAUGCCGCGUGAGUGAAGAAGGCCUUUGGCUUGUAUGCCUCUUUCGUCAGGAAAGAAAAUGACUGUUCCCGAAUAUUAAGGUCCGGCUAACUUCGUGCCAGCAGCCGCGGUAGCUGUGGGGACACUUACGUAAUUCGGAAUUACUGGCUCCGUGCCACUCGUAGGUGGUUAAGAAAGUUGUGCGAGAAAUCACAGGGCUUACCGUUGGAACUGCCACCACAACUUUUUGACUAAACUAUGAGAGAAGUAACUGGAAUUUCUAGGGUAAAUGCGUAUCUCAUAGAUAUUAUAAAGAGCACCAAUUGCUGAGACAACUUCCUGGAUAAUGACUGACACUGAAGAGAUCAGACAUGAUACCGAUGGAGAAUGAGAUACCCUCGUACACCAUGGUGGCACCGAUGCGUGCUAGACGUUAGAAAAUAAUAUUACAGUGCCUGAUCAAAAACGUUGAACACAACGUCUAGUAGAAUACUCGGGCCUGGGUACUUGUCUUUCGAAUUGACGGGUCCCGCACACCGUACUGGAGCGUGCGGUUUAAUUCUAAAUAUCCAAUGAAUCGUAGCAACACCUGGACAUGCUCGGCAGGAAGUCAUUAAAUUGGAUGUUAACCUAAUAGCACUACACACACGUGCCAUAUGGCUAACUUACCCUCGUGCUUGAGAUGCUUCGGUAACUCCGACACGAGGCUGACCCCUUACUCUUAGUUCCACUUUUGAGAUGAUGCACUCUAAAACAGCUGCCAGCUGCAAACCCUGAAGCUAAGGUGGCCAUGGCGUCAGGUCCCUCCUGCCCCGUGGCUGUUCGGCUAACACUGCUGAAGUGCACUACAUGAGAUGCUAUGUGGCUAGCUGACGACUCUCAACAGGGCCCUAGUCCGGAAUGGACUCUCGCAAUCAUGGCGAGUAGCUGAACUUCUUUAAAGAUGCCCUGUGCGAAUAAGCG
rnacentral:rRNA from 1 species